AAAGAAAAAUGUCUUUGAAGAGCAAAUUGUGCAUAUAACUACUUGUAUUGUAUAAGCUGACUGUUGGGCGAUGAAGACCAGUAUUGAAUUGAACAAACAUUAUCUUACCACUCAAUAUUUACAUUGCAUAAAAAAUGACAACUUUUAGAAAGAACUAUCAAAAGGGGAAAAAAAACAUUUGGAGAUCAAAAGCUUAAGAUGUGGGACAACAAUGAAUACAUUGUUAUUCAAUUUUUUGCAGUCUCACACAACAGUAGUAUAGUGGCCAUCUUUUCGCCUCUUUUAUAUGCCAUAGGCAUGUAUCAGUACCUACCAAUGCAACGCCUAUAUUCAACUGUCCGAUGCAUCCACCUUUUCUUGAACAAUGAAGCAGGAAGUGGUACUAAUAAAAGAUGUAGGGAUCUCUGUAUUGAGCUAGGGAAAUUCCACCAAAUGUUAUAGUCCCAUAAGUUUUGAAAUCCUGUCUGAUAUAUUAGCUAUUACAAAUCCAGCAAAUACCUGCAAAAAAGAUGCAUAAGCCAAGCCAUAUCAUGUUUUGCCUGUGGAUCAAUUGAUUAGUAAUACCUCCUUAAAAAUAGAAAAUGAGUCAAAGGUAGGCAUUUGAGCAUUUCAAACAAAAUGAGUUGGAGUAUUCAUAAAGGAAAGACUCCACCUACAGUAUGGGGGCGAAAUUCUGCUCCAUUUUCUUAGUUAGAAUAUGGAGACACUAACUCACCUUUAACAGGUAUAGCCGGGGCAGAGCCACAUGUACUCAAGGGGUGUCAACCGACACCCCUUCGUCGGAAAAUUACCCUGUGUAGCUAGGUAAUU
rnacentral:lncRNA from 1 species